rnacentral:tRNA from 1 species
UCCAGGUGGCUCAGUGGUAAAGACUCUGCCUGAAAUGCAGGAGACCCAGGUUCAAUCCCUGGGUCAGGAA